rnacentral:rRNA from 1 species
AACGAACGCUGGCGGCAUGCCUAACACAUGCAAGUCGAACGAGACCUUCGGGUCUAGUGGCGCACGGGUGCGUAACGCGUGGGAACCUGCCCUUAGGUUCGGAAUAACUCCCCGAAAGGGGUGCUAAUACCGGAUAAUGUCUUCGGACCAACGAUUUAUCGCCUUUGGAUGGGGGUGCGUUGGAUUAGCUAGUUGGUAGGGUAAAAGCCUACCAAGGCGACGAUCCAUAGCUGGUCUGAGAGGAUGAUCAGCCACACUGGGACUGAGACACGGCCCAGACUCGUACGGGAGGCAGCAGUGGGGAAUAUUGGACAAUGGGCGAAAGCCUGAUCAAGCAAUGCCGCGUGAGUGAUGAAGGCCUUAGGGUUGUAAAGCUCUUUUACCCGGGAUGAUAAUGACAGUACCGGGAGAAUAAGCACCGGCUAACUCCGUG